GGGCUCGUGGCUUAGCCUGGAUAUAGCACUGGCCUUCUAAGCCAGUGGCCUCGGGUUCGAAACUCCCUCUAGGAGCGAAAUUCCCGACGAGCCCGCCA
rnacentral:tRNA from 1 species